rnacentral:rRNA from 1 species
GAUGAACGCUGGCGGCGUGCCUAAUACAUGCAAGUCGAGCGAACAGACGAGGAGCUUGCUCCUCUGACGUUAGCGGCGGACGGGUGAGUAACACGUGGAUAACCUACCUAUAAGACUGGGAUAACUUCGGGAAACCGGAGCUAAUACCGGAUAAUAUAUUGAACCGCAUGGUUCAAUAGUGAAAGACGGUUUUGCUGUCACUUAUAGAUGGAUCCGCGCCGCAUUAGCUAGUUGGUAAGGUAACGGCUUACCAAGGCAACGAUGCGUAGCCGACCUGAGAGGGUGAUCGGCCACACUGGAACUGAGACACGGUCCAGCCUCCUACGGGAGGCAGCAGUAGGGAAUCUUCCGCAAUGGGCGAAAGCCUGACGGAGCAACGCCGCGUGAGUGAUGAAGGUCUUCGGAUCGUAAAACUCUGUUAUUAGGGAAGAACAAAUGUGUAAGUAACUAUGCACGUCUUGACGGUACCUACUCAGAAAGCCACGGCUAACUACGUG